rnacentral:rRNA from 1 species
AGAGCGAACGCUGGCGGCAGGCCUAACACAUGCAAGUCGAACGGACUCUUCGGAGUUAGUGGCGGACGGGUGAGUAACACGUGGGAACGUGCCUUUAGGUUCGGAAUAGCUCCUGGAAACGGGUGGUAAUGCCGAAUGUGCCCUUCGGGGGAAAGAUUUAUCGCCUUUAGAGCGGCCCGCGUCUGAUUAGCUAGUUGGUGAGGUAAAGGCUCACCAAGGCUACGAUCAGUAGCUGGUCUGAGAGGAUGACCAGCCACAUUGGGACUGAGACACGGCCCAAACUCCUACGGGAGGCAGCAGGUGGGAAUCUUGCGCAAUGGGCGAAAGCCUGACGCAGCCAUGCCGCGUGAAUGAUGAAGGUCUUAGGAUUAGUAAAAUUCUUACAGUAGGACGUAAUAAGUGAACGGUACCACGAGAAGAACGCCCGGACUAACUUCGUGCCAGCCAGCCGC